rnacentral:lncRNA from 1 species
UGCAGAUUCUCCCCCGACGCCACUAUGAAGUUGUCGUACUCCAGGUUGUCAUAAACUUACAGGCCUCAGGACCCUCUUUGCCUCCUGCAGAACUUUGUUGGUGUCUUUGACCGAGCACAGAACCAGAGUGCAAACCACAGCAUCCACCGAGCUGUCCUCCACCGCCUGCAGAUUCUCCCCCGACGCCACUAUAAAGCUGUCGUACACCAGGAUUAGAGGAAGAUUAACUACUGCCCGCAACCUUUGACCACACAGUAUCUGCUUCCAUGACUGCACUCCCACAGGGCUUGAACCAUAUCCUUAAAAAUGUAGGACGUUUUUACAACAGUGCCCUAGAAGUAUUGUUUUUGGUUCUCUGAAGAACUUUAUUUUUAUUUAUCUUUUAUUCUCAUGUGAAGGACAAAUGUUUUAUGCAUAUUAAUGAUUUCUCAUUUAACCACACUAAGAGAUUAUUAUUAUUAAUUAUCAGGUUCUGUAUAUCUUUUGAUAGAUUUUUCUCAUUUGUUUAUGG